rnacentral:rRNA from 1 species
GGGGGGAGCAAGCGUUGUUCGGAAUUACUGGGCGUAAAGGGCGCGUAGGCGGCCGAGUAAGUCGCGUGUGAAAUGCCGGGGCUCAACCCCGUGCACUGCAUGUGAUACUGCUUGGCUCGAGAGAGGUAGGGGCGAGCGGAAUUCCCGGUGUAGCGGUGGAAUGCGUAGAUAUCGGGAAGAACACCAGUGGCGAAGGCGGCUCGCUGGACCUCUUCUGACGCUGAAGUGCGAAAGCGGGGGAGCAAACAGGGAUUAGAUACCCUGGUAGUCCACGCCGUAAACGCUGGGUACUAGGUGUUGGGGGGAUUGACCCCUUCAGUGCCCGACGCUAACGCAUUAAGUACUCCGCCUGGGGGAGUACGGUCGCAAGGCUG